GAAAGGUAAGUAAAGGCGAGAGGGUAUGUUAAAACAAAUGGAACUAUUUCGCUUCGCCUCUUCUGUUUGUUUUCUAGUAUGUCUUUGCGGCUGUUAUUGUAAGCUAGUGCAAACCUCCUAUCUAUGUACUGUGUAACCUAUGUAAUCCGACACACUGGGGGACCAGAACAAAUGUUGGAUUAAGUAGGGUGACGGAAUAGUCAGGUUUUUUCUGCAAGGAUAGGCAUCUUUUGGGACCCAGAAAAUGUGUCAGUUGGAUCAAUACUCGCAAUUGUUUCUCCAUAGGCGGUAAUAUUGACGUUUUCCAUAUCGUUAACUUGGAUAUGUGUGAUUGCUCAUUUCUAAGCGGAGACAUUUUCACAUAUCUGGUUAAAUUUUCGGGGUACGAAGUGAGAGUACUUCUUCCGUAAAUUAGCAUACCCUGAAAAUUCUUUCAUUCUGCAGCUCCUCAUGGUAAAAAUAUCCCUUUUUUAACAUCAUUAUUAUUUUAAAAUUUAAUACUUUGAAC
rnacentral:lncRNA from 1 species